rnacentral:rRNA from 1 species
ACCGCAAGGAGGCAGGGUCCUAAGGUGAGACUGGUAACUGGGAUGAAGUCGUAACAAGGUAGCCGUAGGGGAACCUGCGGCUGGAUCACCUCCUUUCUAUGGAGUAAGU